CCCGCGUGGCAUCUCACGAGACUCACUCACUCGUCUGUUCACCAGCAACCUCGCCAGCCGCUCCCACCAUCAUCCCUUCACUAUAACAGCCGCCAUGGCAGAGAAGCCGCAGGACCUGGUCGAGAAUCGGCACGUGGAGGCGACGCUGGCGAAGGACAAGGGCCCCGACGCUCGCCUCUUGUCCUGGGCCAUCAAGGACUUCACACAGAAGGGCGACAACAUGGCCACGGCCGUCACGAGUGUCGACGUGAGGUAUUCACUAAAGGACGCCGACCAACGCGUAUCCUACGUCGUCAAGAUCAACCCGAUGCGAAAGGAAACGCAGAUUGACGCAUUUACGUGUAACCUCAUCAAGAAGGAGAUUCAUUUCCACUCAGUCAUUCUGCCGGAGCUCAACGAAGCCCUGACAUCAGCGGGCUUCGAGAAACUGAGGAUACCCACGUUCUACUUCGCGGAGACGGAACCCGGCAGAGAAUUGCUCUUCUUUGAGGACCUUCGGGAUCGGGGAUUCAGAAUGACCGACCGCAAGAAAGGCCUGGACGCUGCGCACGCAAAUCUCGUCCUGAAGGAACUGGCGAGAUUCCACGCCACUUCGCACGUUCUGCUGGCCAGGAACGGAGAUCUGACUGACCGAUACCCGCUCCUGAAGACUGACUUCGCUACGAGUACAGGGCAGCAAAGGGAAUUCCUCCAGGGUAUGUUCGGAAGCCAUUUGACACCUGCUGUCAACCUACUUCAGGAAGUCGAGGGAUAUGACAGCGUCCUGCAGUGGGCCAUCCGGACCCAGCAGAAUGUUAUGGACGUCCUUAGAGACCAAGUGACCGACGGAGCGUCUCCUUUCAAACUAAUGUGUCAUGGUGACUGUUACAGCAAUAACCUCCUAUUUAGGUAUGACGCAACAGGUGCUCCGGUAGAAGCGAUGCUCCUAGACUUGCAGGUCACCCGCUAUGCUUCCCUCGCCACUGACUUGAGCUACUUACUCCUCACGAGCCUGGGAGGAUCCGUCAUAAGCAGUAGCGCGCAGGACUUCCUCAACGCCUACUACACGUCCUUCAGCGCCGUGACGGAGGCAGCAGGACACCCCGUUCCCUUCAGCUUCAAAGACCUUCAGGAGGAGUUCCGAAACAAGCUCCCGAUCGGCCUGCUCUUCGGCCUCAUCGUGCAUCCGUAUGUCGUCAUGAGUUCCGCUGACAUGCCCGAGGCGGAGGUGUUCCUCAGCGACCACGACAAGGCGGAGGUCAAGCAGAAGAUCCUGCACGCCCUGGACAACAACCCUCUGCUGAGACCGAGGCUUCUGUCGGUCUGCGACUACGUGAUCAGAGCAGGGGUCGUCGACUAAGGUUUCGCUUGGAAGCUGUGGAAGCUCUGCGUGGAAGUUCUGUGUAGAAGUUCUCCAUGGAAGUUCUGGUAGCGUUAUUUCCGGCUUUAAAUCAGAUUUUUACAAGUUGUAGAGUAGAAACUUUUACCAUGCAUUUUCGAAUAACUGUCCGAUUCGUUGUUUCAAAAUUUGGUCAGUAGUUCAUUGGCAAGAAACCGCAUAUCCAAAUUUUUAAAGUCUUUUUAAAGCUUGUGUCCCUAGACUGAAAUGUAAAGAGACCAGAUAUUCAAUUUAUUGAAGUUCUUUGUAGAUGAAAUUCAUGUGAAAAAAUACGAAACAGAGUUCAUAGUUGCAACAGACAAAAUUGAUGUUUAAUGUUUAGCUUUUAAACAAUCAUCGUCAAAAAUAAGAUUUAUAAUACUAAACCCUAUUUGAAAUUUACAUAUAGAUAGACAUUCAUUCAUUCAAUUUUCACUCUUAGACAUGAACUUCAUAAUCGUAAAAUGUUUUUUGGAAGUUAAUAAAAAGAGACAAAUAUAAGAUUUCCUUUUU
rnacentral:misc_RNA from 1 species